GAUUUAUUUUAGGUAUAUGCUUUAGGAUUGCGUGUUAACCAUCUAAAUUUUAUGAUCUUAGUUAAUCCAGUAGCCCUUUUGUUUCAGGUUGCCUAUAUGAUUGAUAUAUGAGGUUAUUACUUUUUUAUAAAUUGCUGAGCAUUGGCCUCUUUCCCUAUAUAUGUAGGUUGGUGAUCUUGGCUUUUUGAAAGUGAAGUGUCAGACUCUGAUCUCUGGUGCUGUCAGGGUAACACUUCCAUGGAUGGCACAGAGCUUCUAAAGGGUAGUAGUAGCUUGGUCUCUGAAAAGGUUGUUGUGUUUACUUUUGGGAUUGUUCUCUGGGAGCUCGACCUAUCAACUCACCUUAAGGUUGGGGUAGUCACCGAAAACCCAGUGAUUAUUUCUUUUGUCGGAGACAAGCUAUGAAACAGUGCAUGAACCGGAUACUGAGGCUGCCAGUUAUUCUCUUCUUCGGAAGCAAAUGUUGCUUGAAGUGAAAUAUUCUCGCUUAAGAACAAUCUCUACUACGAUGCCUGGUGUGUUACCAAUCCUCUAUUUAUAUAGAGUUACAUAAUAUGCAAUCCUUUUUCUAUCAUGUUCUCAUAAGUAGUUAGUCUUAUAAGUAGUUUGUAUAUUAACCAAUCCUUUCAUGCGAAAUGUUCAUUAAUCAUCUUGAUGUUGAUGGAAAUUGAUUGCGUAUAACUAAUGCGCAUGAUGUAUACUGAAACUACUCUUGUAUCAAGUAAUCUUCUCUUGUAUUGAUGUACAUGAUAUAUAUUAGUAGCAAAUUUGUA